rnacentral:rRNA from 1 species
CGGAUGAACGCUGGCGGCAUGCCUAAUACAUGCAAGUCAAACGGGUGUAGCAAUACACAAGUGGCGAACGGGUGAGUAACACAUAGACAACUUGUCCUUAAGACGAGGAUAACAGUUGGAAACGACUGCUAAAACUGGAUAGGAUAAAGUAACGCAUGUUAAGAUAUUUAAAGAUGCUUUUGGGCAUUACUUAAGGAGGGGUCUAUGUCGCAUUAGCUAGUUGGUGAGGUAAGGGCUCACCAAGGCGACGAUGCGUAGCUGUGCUGAGAGGCAAAACAGCCACACUGGGACUGAGACACGGCCCAGACUCCUACGGGAGGCAGCAGUGGGGAAUAUUGCACAAUGGGCGAAAGCCUGAUGCAGCGACGCCGCGUGAGGGACGACGGCCUUCGGGUUGUAAACCUCUUUCAGCAGGGACGAAGCGAAAGUGACUGUACCUGCAGAAGAAGCACCGGCUAACUACGUG